rnacentral:rRNA from 1 species
ACUCCUACGGGAGGCAGCAGUGGGGAAUAUUGCGCAAUGGGCGAAAGCCUGACGCAGCCACGCCGCGUGAGCGAUGAAGGUCUUCGGAUCGUAAAGCUCUGUGGGGGAGAAGAAGAAAGUCGGUGAAGAGCCGGCCCUGACGGUAUCCCCUUAGCAAGCACCGGCUAACUCCGUGCCAGCAGCCGCGGUAAU